AUGCAGAAGACAUGCAAGGUUCCUAAUCCUGAAUAUAUGGUGGUAGAUGAUGAUAUACCUAUAGAGGAUCCAUCUACACCUACAAACAAAAGGAAGAAAUGUGGUGAAACAACGGCUACAAUAGAUGGUGAUGCAGCAGAUGAUGAAGUCCUUAUCAAUCUUAUAAGGAAAAGGGCCAGAACAGCUCCACAGAAGCCGAAGGCACCUGAAAAGAAAAAGACUCCUGUGAAGAAAGCUACAACACAACAGAAAACCAAAAAGAAGACCCCCGUGAAGAAAGUUGCAUCACAAGAGAAAGCCAAGAGGAAGACAUCUAAAGGGCAGAAAGUCAAGAAGAAUGUUCCAUUUGCGCCUGUUAUACCUCCACCUCCACCUACAGAAGGGCAGCCUACAAAUGGUGCAAAAAGAAGCCUUCUUUAUUGGCUUGGUGGCUAG
rnacentral:rRNA from 1 species